GAUGAACGCUGGCGGCGUGCCUAAUACAUGCAAGUCGAGCGAACAGACGAGGAGCUUGCUCCUCUGACGUUAGCGGCGGACGGGUGAGUAACACGUGGAUAACCUACCUAUAAGACUGGGAUAACUUCGGGAAACCGGAGCUAAUACCGGAUAAUAUAUUGAACCGCAUGGUUCAAUAGUGAAAGACGGUUUUGCUGUCACUUAUAGCUGGAUCCGCGCCGCAUUAGCUAGUUGGUAAGGUAACGGCUUACCAAGGCAACGAUGCGUAGCCGACCUGAGAGGGUGAUCGGCCACACUGGAACUGAGACAUGGUCCAGACUCCUACGGGAGGCAGCAGUAGGGAAUCUUCCGCAAUGGGCGAAAGCCUGACGGAGCAACGCCGCGUGAGUGAUGAAGGUCUUCGGAUCGUAAAACUCUGUUAUUAGGGAAGAACAAAUGUGUAAGUAACUAUGCACGUCUUGACGGUACCUAAUCAGAAAGCCACGGCUAACUACGUG
rnacentral:rRNA from 1 species